rnacentral:rRNA from 1 species
AUUGAACGCUGGCGGCAUGCCUUACACAUGCAAGUCGAACGGCAGCAUGAUCUAGCUUGCUAGAUUGAUGGCGAGUGGCGAACGGGUGAGUCAUACAUCGGAACGUGCCCUGUAGUGGGGGAUAACUAGUCGAAAGAUUAGCUAAUACCGCAUACGACCUGAGGGUGAAAGUGGGGGACCGCAAGGCCUCAUGCUAUAGGAGCGGCCGAUGUCUGAUUAGCUAGUUGGUGAGGUAAAGGCUCACCAAGGCGACGAUCAGUAGCUGGUCUGAGAGGACGAUCAGCCACACUGGGACUGAGACACGGCCCAGACUCCUACGGGAGGCAGCAGUGGGGAAUUUUGGACAAUGGGCGAAAGCCUGAUCCAGCAAUGCCGCGUGUGUGAAGAAGGCCUUCGGGUUGUAAAGCACUUUUGUCCGGAAAGAAAUGGCUCUGGUUAAUACCUGGGGUCGAUGACGGUACCGGAAGAAUAAGGACCGGCUAACUACGUG